AUUGAACGCUGGCGGCAGGCCUAACACAUGCAAGUCGAACGGUAACAGGAAGCAACUUGCUGCUUUGCUGACGAGUGGCGGACGGGUGAGUAAUGUCUGGGAAACUGCCUGAUGGAGGGGGAUAACUACUGGAAACGGUAGCUAAUACCGCAUAACGUCGCAAGACCAAAGAGGGGGACCUUCGGGCCUCUUGCCAUCGGAUGUGCCCAGAUGGGAUUAGCUAGUAGGUGGGGUAACGGCUCACCUAGGCGACGAUCCCUAGCUGGUCUGAGAGGAUGACCAGCCACACUGGAACUGAGACACGGUCCAGACUCCUACGGGAGGCAGCAGUGGGGAAUAUUGCACAAUGGGCGCAAGCCUGAUGCAGCCAUGCCGCGUGUAUGAAGAAGGCCUUCGGGUUGUAAAGUACUUU
rnacentral:rRNA from 1 species